rnacentral:rRNA from 1 species
UACAGAGGUCUCAACCGUUGUUCGGAUUCAUUGGGCGUAAAGGGUGCGUAGGCGGUCGCGUAAGUCGGAUGUGAAAUCUCAGGGCUCAACCCUGAAACUGCAUUCGAUACUGCGUGGCUAGGGUACUGGAGAGGAGACUGGAAUUUACGGUGUAGCAGUGAAAUGCGUAGAUAUCGUAAGGAAGACCAGUGGCGAAGGCGAGUCUCUGGACAGGUCCUGACGCUGAGGCACGAAAGCUAGGGGAGCAAACAGG